GAGCACAAGUUUCUCUAAUCAAAAUUUGAUUUUGAGAUUUGAUGGGGUGUGUUCUUUUGUUUCAUAAGGUGAUGGGACAAGAGACUGUGACUGGUGGCUGGAACGACAAGUCCUCCAAGGCUGGUGGUGAUGUUGAGAAAAACAGAUUAGAGUUUGGAUCAGUUUAUCAACAGGAACAACAAGAGAGAGUUCAACCUUGUCAUCUGAGCUCUUCCAUCUAUUACGGUGGCCCUGAUGUUUAUUUCCAGCCUCAGAGUCAGAAUUCCAGCGCCAACUCUGCUGCGCAGAAGAAGAAAGAGGGAGGCGAAGAUGAUUCCGGAAGUGCUUCCAGAGGAAAUUGGUGGCAAGGGUCUCUGUAUUACUAAGUGGAGAUCUUACUACUUGAGCCAGUGUGUUAUACUACAAAGGCAGCAAGGUACAUAGGAAGAAGAAAAAGAAUAGAGGUAGCAGUGGAUCUCAGUUGGUAUUAGUAAAAACUUCUCAUCUUAUUAUUACAAAAAAAGUAUUAAGAAGUUUGUAAGGUUAGAUGCAAAAGACCAGGAAAGCUUGUCUGGGGGGGGGUUUUGUCGUGGUUUUAGUGAUUAACCCGACCGGUUCAAGAUUUAACUUUCCGUAGAAUAUGAAUAAGACAGUGAUAUGGGUUUUGUAAGAAAACUCUAGUAAGUUUCAAGUUUCCAUGCAUAUAAAUAAAAUCAACUGCUGUUGGUUCUAAAGUUUCAUUGAAGGAAACAGUUGUUAUUUUGCUAUGUAUUUUUUGAGUGAUGGUGUAGUUGGUCUGGUUAAAUCGGUUUGGAUUGCUAUAAAGGUUGUUGUUUCCCGCUU